rnacentral:snoRNA from 1 species
GUUGCUUCUUUGAUUCUUAGAUCGAGUGACUGCAUGUUAGUUAGUCUCUUUGUUUGUUGGAAGCAUAAAGCAAAUUUUCCCAGGAUUAAACAUCAUGAUGAUGACUGUGUCAUCGUGUUACCUAUCUCCUGGUAUAUGA